rnacentral:rRNA from 1 species
UUUCGCAAUGCCCGAAAGGGUGACGAAGCGACGCCGCGUGCGGGAAGAAGGCCUUCGGGUUGUAAACCGCUGUCGGGAGUUAAGAAAUGUAGAGAUGUUAAUAGCGUCUUUGCUUGACUAAGGCUCCGGAGGAAGCCACGGCUAACUCUGUGCCAGCAGCCGCGGUAAUACAGAGGCGGCAAGCGUUGUUCGGAAUUAUUGGGCGUAAAGAGCACGUAGGCGGCUAUGUAAGUCGGUUGUGAAAGCCUUCCGCUCAACGGGAGAACAGCAUCCGAUACUGCAUGGCUUGAGUGCGGGAGGGGAGAGUGGAACUUCUGGUGGAGCGGUGAAAUGCGUAGAUAUCAGAAGGAACGCCGGCGGCGAAAGCGGCUCUCUGGCCCAUAACUGACGCUGAGUGUGCGAAAGCUAGGGGAGCAAACGGGAUUAGAUACCCCGGUAGUCCUAGCCGUAAACGAUGGGCACUAAGUAGAGGGGUUUU